AUUGAACGCUGGCGGCGAUGCCUUACACAUAGCAAGUCGAACGGUAACAGGUCUUCGGAUGCUGACGAGUGGCGAACGGGUGAGUAAUACAUCGGAACGUGCCCGAUCGUGGGGGAUAACGGAGCGAAAGCUUUGCUAAUACCGCAUACGAUCUACGGAUGAAAGCAGGGGACCGCAAGGCCUUGCGCGGACGGAGCGGCCGAUGGCAGAUUAGGUAGUUGGUGGGAUAAAAGCUUACCAAGCCGACGAUCUGUAGCUUGGUCUGAGAGGACGACCCAGCCACACUGGGACUGAGACACGGCCCAGACUCCUACGGGAGGCAGCAGUGGGGAAUUUUGGACAAUGGGCGCAAGCCCUGAUCCAGCCAUGCCGCGUGCAGGAUGAAGGCCUUCGGGUUGUAAACUGCUUUUGUACGGAACGAAAAGACUCUUUCUAAUAAAGAGGGUCCAUGACGGUACCGUAAGAAUAAAGCACCGGCUAACUACGUG
rnacentral:rRNA from 1 species